rnacentral:tRNA from 1 species
GCCCUCAUAGCUCAGGUGGAUAGAGCGCGGCCCUUCUAAUGCCUAGGUCGGGAGUUCGAGUCUCUCUGAGGGCG